rnacentral:rRNA from 1 species
GAUGAACGCUGGCUACAGGCUUAACACAUGCAAGUCGAGGGGAAACGACGGGGAAGCUUGCUUCCCCGGGCGUCGACCGGCGCACGGGUGAGUAACGCGUAUCCAACCUGCCUCUGACUGAGGGAUAACCCGUCGAAAGUCGGCCUAAUACCUCAUGGUAUCGUCUGCGGGCAUCCAACGACGAUUAAAGAUUUCAUCGGUCAGGGAUGGGGAUGCGUCUGAUUAGCUUGUUGGCGGGGUAACAGCCCACCAAGGCUACGAUCAGUAGGGGUUCUGAGAGGAAGGUCCCCCACAUUGGAACUGAGACACGGUCCAAACUCCUACGGGAGGCAGCAGUGAGGAAUAUUGGUCAAUGGGCGAGAGCCUGAACCAGCCAAGUAGCGUGCAGGAAGACGGCCCUAUGGGUUGUAAACUGCUUUUAUGCGGGGAUAAAGUGAGGGACGUGUCCCUCAUUGCAGGUACCGCAUGAAUAAGGACCGGCUAAUUCCGUG